rnacentral:rRNA from 1 species
AGAACUUAGCAGAGAUGCUUUGGUGCCUUCGGGAACUCUGAGACAGGUGCUGCAUGGCUGUCGUCAGCUCGUGUUGUGAAAUGUUGGGUUAAGUCCCGCAACGAGCGCAACCCUUAUCCUUUGUUGCCAGCGGUCCGGCCGGGAACUCAAAGGAGACUGCCAGUGAUAAACUGGAGGAAGGUGGGGAUGACGUCAAGUCAUCAUGGCCCUUACGAGUAGGGCUACACACGUGCUACAAUGGCGCAUACAAAGAGAAGCGACCUCGCGAGAGCAAGCGGACCUCAUAAAAGUGCGUCGUAGUCCGGAUUGGAGUCUGCAACUCGACUCCAUGAAGUCGGAAUCGCUAGUAAUCGUAGAUCAGAAUGCUACGGUGAAUACGUUCCCGGGCCUUGUACACACCGCCCGUCACACCAUGGGAGUGGGUUGCAAAAGAAGUAGGUAGCUUAACCUUCGGGAGGGCGCUUACCACUUUGUGAUUCAUGACUGGGGUGAAGUCGUAACAAGGUAGGCGUAGCGAG